GUCCCUGUAGAGCAGUGGUUAGCGGGUUUGACAUUUAAUCCAAAGGUCCCGGGUUCGAAUCCAGGCAGGGAUG